GCUGGAAUCGCUAGUAAUCGCGGAUCAGAAUGCCGCGGUGAAUACGUUCCCGGGUCUUGUACACACCGCCCGUCACACCAUGGGAGUCGGAAAUGCCCGAAGUCUGUGACCCAACCUGCAAGGGAGGGAGCAGCCGAAGGCAGGUCGGAUGACUGGGGUGAAGUCGUAACAAGGUAAC
rnacentral:rRNA from 1 species